UUUUUUUUUUCCUUACAUGUGGGUUUAGUUUUCUUGAGGACAAGCAAUUACUUAAGUGUGGGGGAGUUUGAUCUGUCACAAUUCGUUGUGGCAAAUUGGGUCCUUUGCAAUACUUAGUGAGCUUGUUUUCUAGCAAAUAAGUAUUGUUUUUAUUUAGUUUAUUUUUUAAGUACUUAGUCAAUAAAUUGAGUAAUUUGGAGUGUUUUAUGACCUUUUAGACCGAUUCGAGCCUAAGGGAGGACUAAUGUGCUAAUUGAGUGUGCAAAACCCCAAUUUAGGCCAAGG
rnacentral:lncRNA from 1 species